CCUACGGGAGGCAGCAGUGGGGAAUAUUGCACAAUGGGGGAAACCCUGAUGCAGCGACGCCGCGUGAGUGAAGAAGUAUUUCGGUACGUAAAGCUCUAUCAGCAGGGAAGCAAAUGAAGGUACCUGACUCAGAAGCCCCGGCUUACUACGUGCCAGCAGCCGCGGUAACAUGUAGGGGGCAAGCGUUAUCCGGAUUUAGUGGGGGUAAAGGGAGCGUAGUCGGCGGCGCAAGUCUGAAGUGAAAUCCCAUGGCUUAACCAUGGAACUGCUUUUGAAACUGUGCAGCUGGAGUGCAGGAGAGGUAAGUGGAAUGCGUAGUGUAGCGGUGGAAUGCGUAGAUAUUAGGAGGAACACCAGAGGCGAAGGCGGCUAACUGGACUGCAACUGACGCUGAGGCACGAAAGUGUGGGGAGCGAACAGGAUUAGAUACCCCUGUAGUC
rnacentral:rRNA from 1 species